rnacentral:rRNA from 1 species
UGGGGGAUAUUGCACAAUGGGCGAAAGCCUGAUGCAGCGACGCCGCGUGGGGGAUGAAGGCCUUCGGGUUGUAAACUUCUUUUGCUCUGAACAAGGCAUGCUAAUGGGUGUGUUGAGUGUAGGGGUUGAUUAGCGCCGGCUAACUACGUGCCAGCAGCCGCGGUAAUACGUAGGGCGCGAGCGUUGUCCGGAAUUAUUGGGCGUAAAGGGCUUGUAGGUGGCUGGUUGCGUCUGUCGUGAAAGCUCAUGGCUUAACUGUGGGUUUGCGGUGGGUACUGGCUGGAUUGAGUGCAGUAGGGGAGGCUGGAAAUCCUAGUGUAGCGGUGGAAUGCGCAGAUAUCAGGAGGAAUACCGGUGGCGAAGGCGGGUCUCUGGGCUGUUACUGACACUGAGGAGCGAAAGCAUGGGGAGCGAACAGG